UACGUAGGGGGCAAGCGUUGUCCGGAUUUAUUGGGCGUAAAGAGCGUGUAGGCGGCCAGGUAGGUCUGCUGUGAAAACUCGAGGCUUAACCUCGAGAUGUCGGCGGAAACCAUCUGGCUAGAGUCCGGAAGAGGAGAAUGGAAUUCCGGGUGUAGCGGUGAAAUUCGUAGAUAUUCGCAAGAACACCAGUGGCGAAGGCGGCUCACUGGCCGGUACUGACGCUGAGGUGCGAAAGCGUGGGGAGCAAACAGG
rnacentral:rRNA from 1 species